UCCGCCGUAGCUCAGUUGAAGGAGAGCGCUACCUGAAAGAUGGCAGAGGUCGUGGGUGCAAAUCCCACCGGCGGAC
rnacentral:tRNA from 1 species